UAGUGGUCCAGCGGUUAGGGCAACUACAUUUAAAAUGAUUUGACCCGGUUUCGAUUCCCGGAUUAUCAA